rnacentral:lncRNA from 1 species
CUAAUUUGAGGAUUCAAAAUAGCCCUUGCUAAGAAUUUCUAACUAAGACCCGAGGGAUUGACUCAAAAACCAGAGAAAUGGAAGGAAAGAAAAUGGCAUUACAAGCUUCCAUAAUUGGCAAAUGCAAAAGUAUUACACAGAAAAAGCAUACGUCCAAUUAACAAACAUCACAACUACACAAAGCAUACAGAAGAAGAACAGACGAGUGAGUUUGGAGCU